UGUCCAACAGGAAGGGGAAAAACUCCAUGUCUGAGGGUGAAAGACCACACAAGAUUCACCCUUGUUUCAGAACGAGCUUUAUCUGCCUCACUAUGAUUAUACUUUCUUCUUGCCGCUACACCCAUGUCUGGCAUAUUCACAGGUAGGAAAUCACACCCAAUUGCUGAACUGUUUCCACUCCUAAACUCAUCUGAGCGCUAUCAUUGGCUGGAGGAAACACAACAACUCCCCACCCAGAACCAGCCAGAGUCAAGAAAAGCAAACCAAAACAUAAAAAUCCAGUCAGAGGACAAAGUCUCUGCAGACUCAGGCUGUAUCCGAAUUGCCAAGUACCUACUCAAUCUGUCAGUAGGCAGUAGGCAGUAGUCAGUACCUACUAUCCGUGCUGUAUACUGUUUAGUACCUACUAUUCAGUAGGAGCGCACAGUAGGCAGAUAUUUGUUCCUUCGUCAUCUGAUUCAUUCAGUAAGGAAGUGGCGUCAUUUACGUUACCUGAACCUCCACCCGUUUUUUGUUUUUUUUAGCUUUAUUCAAGAAGAGUAAUGCGCAUAUACAGUCAGGUAAACAAAAAACAAUAUCACAAUGUAAAUCAAGUAAAAGACAGAUUAAAUAACUGAA